rnacentral:tRNA from 1 species
GACCGCGUAGCUCAGUUGGAAGAGCAUUGGGUUAGUAUUCCAAAGGUCGUAGGUUCGAAUCCCACCGUGGCUG